rnacentral:rRNA from 1 species
CAUAGCGACUAUCGUGGCAUAUCAAUAAGCGGAGGAAAAGAAACUAACUAGGAUUCCCUCAGUAACGGCGAGUGAAGCGGGAAGAGCUCAAAUUUGAAAUCUUCAAGGUUUUACCUUGACGAAUUGUAGUUUAAAGAAGUGUUUUCUGUUGAAGUUUUGGUAAAAGUUCUUUGGAAUAGGACAUCAUAGAGGGUGAGAAUCCCGUAUUUGACCAUUUCUUUCAGCUUUGUGAUACACUUUCAAAGAGUCGGAUUGUUUGGGAAUGCAGUCCAAAAUGGGUGGUAAAUUUCAUCUAAAGCUAAAUAUUGGCGAGAGACCGAUAGCGAACAAGUACCGUGAGGGAAAGAUGAAAAGAACUUUGAAAAGAGAGUUAAACAGUACGUGAAAUUGUCAAAAGGGAAGCGUUUGACACCAGUGUUGUUUUCUCGAAAAUCAAUUAAAAAUGGCUGGAUGCUAAGUUGCUAAGACUUUAUCAGCUUGUUUCUUAGUUUUCUUGUCUUUUUAAAUGCACUUUUCGUUUAACAAGUCAACAUCAAUUUCUUUUGCUGUAAAAAGGUAAGAGGAAGGUGGCUUAGAACUUCGGUUUAAAGUGUUUAUAGCCUUUUACCUCUGCAGUCGGAGAGAUUGAGGUCUGCAGCGUAGACUCUUCGGGGUUAGAUACAUUUGUGCUAAGUUAUAGCUUUUCAUAGACAACUUGUUGACUAUGAUUUAGUCUUGUAGCUUACUCGCUUAUGCUAUUUUACCUACGCUUAGGAUGUUGAUAGUCACAGCGUGUAC